AGGCGAGCAUCAUCCUUCGUCUCCAUGCCACGACGUGACCAAAUUUUCCUCGUCAGCUUCCUUGCCGUGUUUCUGACGACGACGGCGUGCAGGUGGGGUGGAGGACGCCGCCGGGUACAAGCAGCCGACGGACCCGCAGAUGAAGGACCUCUUCCUCCCGUUCCGCUGCUUCUGCACGCGCAAAGACGUACGCAAACACAUGCACUGCGCACAUCAGACGUAGUAGCACGGUAGCGGCAGUGUGACACGGUGCGAUUUCACGGUGUCUGGUGUAAUGCAAUACGUGCCCUGUAUUGUAUUGUUUGCUGCAGAUCCAGUGCAAGGACGUGGUGCUGGACGACCACG
rnacentral:lncRNA from 1 species